rnacentral:lncRNA from 1 species
AGGUUAUCAAAAAGGAGACAAUGUUAUUAUAUUUACAGCUUCACAGAUUUAUAUAUCAAGAGAAACUACCCAAGGAGACUCAUCCACACUUGGAAGAGAUUUAGACAAUGAGAUUCUGGACCGGAGACACCAACAUGAGAAGAGAAUGAAGGAGGCUUCCCUUCAACAGCCAGCGAGAAAAAGAGAUUCUCAGGAAUUUAAACAACAAAGAAAGAAGUUUACCAACUAUCACAUGUGCUUGGAAGUGGAGCCUUGCUCAAUUGAGAUUUGAGAUAAGACAACAGCCCAGGCUAACACCUUGUUUGCAGCCUUUUGAGACCUGAAAUAAGACCCACUCGUCUCCAUUUACCUGUGAGCCCCAUCCCUAGAAGCAGACAUCCAAAGCCCCAGAAAAGAUGGGCUUAUUUCCUGCUCUGUCCCAAGGGCAAAGCUUCCGAGGAGAAGAGCAGCUCAUUGUGAUGAAGUAGCUGCUGCGCUUGAUUGUUACUAGGCAAAAAUAUUGUUUCAAUAUUGUCCUGUUAUCUAAUAAACUUCUCAUGGAAAAGGAGACUGAGAUGCCAACUUUAUUUUUCAAAAAUAUUGUAAGAAAAGCCCCACAUGGCUCUGAAGGGGAU